AGUCCGUACAGUCUUCGGGAGAAUUCUGAAUUGGCUCGGGUUGGUUGCACAUUUUCUGAAGGGUCGGAGGGAUGGACAACGAGAAAAAUCAGGAUAUUAUGGAGAAGGGGUGCACAUUCGCUGCACUCUCGACUGGGCGGCCAGGAAAGCUGGCCAGAACUCCUUGAGAAAAGUUCGCGGUUUGGCUGCACAAGGAACUGUGGAGAACCACAACCUUGCACUUGCAGCUUCAAGUUUGAUUUAAAUAUGGAAUUUUGUUUACUUCUUGGAAGCUGAAUCUCCAGAAGGAAUUUCUUUGGUGCCCUUUGUUGUAAAUAUGUUAUUGUCCUGGCCUGAUUAUUAUUUUCUUUUGUCGCCCAUCUGCGUAUAAGUUUUUCGGUUAAGAAAAGCAAGGCUCACUCACUCGCAAGAACAGAAAAAAUAUUAAAAGCUCAGACUCAGACAUGGGGGGUUGUGUUGGACAAAAAAAAACAAACACACACACCUUUGGCACCUUUGUCUGUUUGUCUGUUUCGGAUUUGUUUGUCACUUUUAAUUUGGCACGACGGCGUAGAAGAUCUUCCGCAUGUGCAGCAGCCCCCCUCUUAUAAAUGUUAGACAAAGGGACAAAGUUUUGUUUGAUUCCUUUUGUAUGUGCAGCCAACGGCGACGAGGCAGAAAAAUAAUUAUCAUUGAUACAAAAGCGCGGAAAAUACUUCGAUGCGUCGGCAGGACAAGUCGCAAAGUCACCUUUCGUUCUCAUACACAUUCCCAGCAGCAGUACCCGUAGUAGCAGCAACAUUUCCGAAUCAAAAAUCUAUUGCCCAGACACCCGGAACAGAUCCAUCAAUACGAGAGAGAGAGAGUGCAGCAAAUAAACAAAUUAUAUUAGUCAUCUAAUAAUAACCGCACACAAAAAUCUGGCCAGGGCUCAUCAAUUUAUUAUAGAUUUGCUGCGGGCAUCGAUUCGCAGGCAAGGAUGGAUUCCCACUCGUUGAGUGAUUUAUGCAUUUUUGUUGCAAUGUUGCAUGCUGUUUUGGUGCCGGAGGUGUGCGGGUGUCGCACUCCAUUCAAUAUUUUAUUAAUCGCAUGUUAUCAAUCAAACAACAACUACAAUCUGCCAUUGUCAGGGCCGUAAAGUGUCCAGAGACAGAACCUGAAAUGGAUCAGAAAUUCAAGCCAAGGGGUUACAGUAGGGAUUGUAUAGAAAGGAAAGGGAUCAGAAUUUCUGUAGAAAGAUAAGGUGUUUAAGUUUUUAAAUUUUAAGAAAUAUAUUUUGGAAGUUUUUCUAUUAAUAUGAUUAAUAAACAACAGUUUAAAACAUGA